rnacentral:rRNA from 1 species
GUAGGUGGCAAGCGUUGUCCGGAAUUAUUGGGCGUAAAGCGCGCGCAGGCGGUUCUUUAAGUCUGAUGUGAAAGCCCACGGCUCAACCGUGGAGGGUCAUUGGAAACUGGAGAACUUGAGUACAGAAGAGGAAAGCGGAAUUCCACGUGUAGCGGUGAAAUGCAUAGAGAUGUGGAGGAACACCAGUGGCGAAGGCGGCUUUCUGGUCUGUAACUGACGCUGAGGCGCGAAAGCGUGGGGAGCAAACAGGAUUAGAUACCCUGGUAGUCCACGCCGUAAACGAUGAGUGCUAAGUGUUAGGGGGGUUUUCCGCCCCCCUUAGUGCUGCAGCUAACGCAUUAAGCACUCCGCCUGGGAGUACGGCCGCAAGGCUG